UGGCGGACGGGUGAGUAACACGUAGGUAACCUGCCCCGGAGCGGGGGAUAACAUUUGGAAACAGAUGCUAAUACCGCGUAACCAUAGUUACCGCAUGGUAACUAUGUAAAAGGUGGCUAUGCUACCGCUUUUGGAUGGGCCCGCGGCGCAUUAGCUAGUUGGUGGGGUAAAGGCUUACCAAGGCAAUGAUGCGUAGCCGAACUGAGAGGUUGAUCGGCCACAUUGGGACUGAGACACGGCCCAAACUCCUACGGGAGGCAGCAG
rnacentral:rRNA from 1 species